UGGGGAAUAUUGGACAAUGGGCGCAAGCCUGAUCCAGCCAUACCGCGUGGGUGAAGAAGGCCUUCGGGGUGUAAAGCUCUUUCGCCCGCGAAGAUAAUGACGGUAGCGGGAGAAGAAGCCCCGGCUAACUCCGUGCCAGCAGCCGCGGUAAUACGGAGGGGGCUAGCGUUGUCCGGAGUCACUGGGCGUAAAGCGCGCGUAGGCGGCCUGUUAAGUUGGGUGUGAAAGCCCGGGGCUCAACCCCGGAUGUGCAUCCGAGACUGGCAGGCUGGAGUCCGGGAGAGGGCGGCGGAAUUCCCAGUGUAGAGGUGAAAUUCGUAGAUAUUGGGAAGAACACCGGUGGCGAAGGCGGCCGCCUGGCCCGGAACUGACGCUGAGGCGCGAAAGCGUGGGGAGCAAA
rnacentral:rRNA from 1 species